UAUAGAAGGUCAAAGUUAAGUAGAGAUAGAGCUAAUUCAGAAAGUGAUAUUGGCACGAGAGAGAGCAUUUCACAUGCUAGUACAAAUGAACAGUAUGCCAGAGGUGACUUAAAUGAAGAUACUAAUGAAGGAGCUCAAACAAAGCAUAUCAUGGGCUCAAAGGUGACAGAUGAUAUGAUGAACUGUAGUUUUAUGUUGGGACAGGAACAUGAAUCAGAGGAUAGGUAUAGAAAUGCCCAUAAUGGUUCCAUUAGCAGACG
rnacentral:misc_RNA from 1 species